GGGUUGUGAGGUUAAGCGACUAAGCGUACACGGUGGAUGCCCUGGCAGUCAGAGGCGAUGAAGGACGUGCUAAUCUGCGAUAAGCGUCGGUAAGGUGAUAUGAACCGUUAUAACCGGCGAUUUCCGAAUGGGGAAACCCAGUGUGAUUCGUCACACUAUCAUUAACUGAAUCCAUAGGUUAAUGAGGCGAACCGGGGGAACUGAAACAUCUAAGUACCCCGAGGAAAAGAAAUCAACCGAGAUUCCCCCAGUAGCGGCGAGCGAACGGGGAGCAGCCCAGAGCCUGAAUCAGUGUGUGUGUUAGUGGAAGCGUCUGGAAAGGCGUGCGAUACAGGGUGACAGCCCCGUACACAAAAAUGCACAUGCUGUGAGCUCGAUGAGUAGGGCGGGACACGUGGUAUCCUGUCUGAAUAUGGGGGGACCAUCCUCCAAGGCUAAAUACUCCUGACUGACCGAUAGUGAACCAGUACCGUGAGGGAAAGGCGAAAAGAACCCCGGCGAGGGGAGUGAAAAAGAACCUGAAACCGUGUACGUACAAGCAGUGGGAGCACAGAGCAAUCUGUGUGACUGCGUACCUUUUGUAUAAUGGGUCAGCGACUUAUAUUCUGUAGCAAGGUUAACCGAAUAGGGGAGCCGAAGGGAAACCGAGUCUUAACUGGGCGUUAAGUUGCAGGGUAUAGACCCGAAACCCGGUGAUCUAGCCAUGGGCAGGUUGAAGGUUGGGUAACACUAACUGGAGGACCGAACCGACUAAUGUUGAAAAAUUAGCGGAUGACUUGUGGCUGGGGGUGAAAGGCCAAUCAAACCGGGAGAUAGCUGGUUCUCCCCGAAAGCUAUUUAGGUAGCGCCUCGUGAAUUCAUCUCCGGGGGUAGAGCACUGUUUCGGCAAGGGGGUCAUCCCGACUUACCAACCCGAUGCAAACUGCGAAUACCGGAGAAUGUUAUCACGGGAGACACACGGCGGGUGCUAACGUCCGUCGUGAAGAGGGAAACAACCCAGACCGCCAGCUAAGGUCCCAAAGUCAUGGUUAAGUGGGAAACGAUGUGGGAAGGCCCAGACAGCCAGGAUGUUGGCUUAGAAGCAGCCAUCAUUUAAAGAAAGCGUAAUAGCUCACUGGUCGAGUCGGCCUGCGCGGAAGAUGUAACGGGGCUAAACCAUGCACCGAAGCUGCGGCAGCGACGCUUAUGCGUUGUUGGGUAGGGGAGCGUUCUGUAAGCCUGCGAAGGUGUGCUGUGAGGCAUGCUGGAGGUAUCAGAAGUGCGAAUGCUGACAUAAGUAACGAUAAAGCGGGUGAAAAGCCCGCUCGCCGGAAGACCAAGGGUUCCUGUCCAACGUUAAUCGGGGCAGGGUGAGUCGACCCCUAAGGCGAGGCCGAAAGGCGUAGUCGAUGGGAAACAGGUUAAUAUUCCUGUACUUGGUGUUACUGCGAAGGGGGGACGGAGAAGGCUAUGUUGGCCGGGCGACGGUUGUCCCGGUUUAAGCGUGUAGGCUGGUUUUCCAGGCAAAUCCGGAAAACUAAGGCUGAGGCGUGAUGACGAGGCACUACGGUGCUGAAGCAACAAAUGCCCUGCUUCCAGGAAAAGCCUCUAAGCAUCAGGUAACAUCAAAUCGUACCCCAAACCGACACAGGUGGUCAGGUAGAGAAUACCAAGGCGCUUGAGAGAACUCGGGUGAAGGAACUAGGCAAAAUGGUGCCGUAACUUCGGGAGAAGGCACGCUGAUAUGUAGGUGAAGUCCCUCGCGGAUGGAGCUGAAAUCAGUCGAAGAUACCAGCUGGCUGCAACUGUUUAUUAAAAACACAGCACUGUGCAAACACGAAAGUGGACGUAUACGGUGUGACGCCUGCCCGGUGCCGGAAGGUUAAUUGAUGGGGUCAGCGCAAGCGAAGCUCUUGAUCGAAGCCCCGGUAAACGGCGGCCGUAACUAUAACGGUCCUAAGGUAGCGAAAUUCCUUGUCGGGUAAGUUCCGACCUGCACGAAUGGCGUAAUGAUGGCCAGGCUGUCUCCACCCGAGACUCAGUGAAAUUGAACUCGCUGUGAAGAUGCAGUGUACCCGCGGCAAGACGGAAAGACCCCGUGAACCUUUACUAUAGCUUGACACUGAACAUUGAGCCUUGAUGUGUAGGAUAGGUGGGAGGCUUGGAAGUGUGGACGCCAGUCUGCAUGGAGCCGACCUUGAAAUACCACCCUUUAAUGUUUGAUGUUCUAACGUUGACCCGUAAUCCGGGUUGCGGACAGUGUCUGGUGGGUAGUUUGACUGGGGCGGUCUCCUCCUAAAGAGUAACGGAGGAGCACGAAGGUUGGCUAAUCCUGGUCGGACAUCAGGAGGUUAGUGCAAUGGCAUAAGCCAGCUUGACUGCGAGCGUGACGGCGCGAGCAGGUGCGAAAGCAGGUCAUAGUGAUCCGGUGGUUCUGAAUGGAAGGGCCAUCGCUCAACGGAUAAAAGGUACUCCGGGGAUAACAGGCUGAUACCGCCCAAGAGUUCAUAUCGACGGCGGUGUUUGGCACCUCGAUGUCGGCUCAUCACAUCCUGGGGCUGAAGUAGGUCCCAAGGGUAUGGCUGUUCGCCAUUUAAAGUGGUACGCGAGCUGGGUUUAGAACGUCGUGAGACAGUUCGGUCCCUAUCUGCCGUGGGCGCUGGAGAACUGAGGGGGGCUGCUCCUAGUACGAGAGGACCGGAGUGGACGCAUCACUGGUGUUCGGGUUGUCAUGCCAAUGGCACUGCCCGGUAGCUAAAUGCGGAAGAGAUAAGUGCUGAAAGCAUCUAAGCACGAAACUUGCCCCGAGAUGAGUUCUCCCUGACUCCUUGAGAGUCCUGAAGGAACGUUGAAGACGACGACGUUGAUAGGCCGGGUGUGUAAGCGCAGCGAUGCGUUGAGCUAACCGGUACUAAUGAACCGUGAGGCUUAACCUUACAACGCCGAAGGUGUUU
rnacentral:rRNA from 1 species